AUUGAACGCUGGCGGCAUGCCUUACACAUGCAAGUCGAACGGCAGCACGGGGUCUUGCACCUGGUGGGGAGUGGCGAACGGGGGAGUAAUACAUCGGAACAUGUCCUGUAGUGGGGGGUAGCCCGGCGACAGCCGGAUUAAUACCGCAUACAAUCUACUGACGAAAGCGUGGGCCCUUCUGGCCUCGCCCUGUAGGGUGGGUCGAUGGCUGCUUAGCUAGUUGGUGGGGUAAAGGCCUAGCAAGGCGACGAUCAGUAGCUGGUCUGAGAGGACGACCAGCCACACUGGGACUGAGACACGGCACAGACUCUUACGGGAGGCAGCGGUGGAGAAUUUUGCACAAUGCGCGAAAGCCUGAUACAGCAAUGCCGCGUGUGUGAAGAAGGACUUCGGGUUGUAAAGCACUUUUGUCCGGAAAGAAAUCCUUGGCCCUAAUACGGUCGGGGAAUGACGGUACCGGAAGAAUAAGCACCGGCUAACUACGUG
rnacentral:rRNA from 1 species